GACGAAGGAUGCAAGCGUUAUCCGGAUUCAUUGGGUUUAAAGGGAGCGUAGGUGGCCUUAUAAGUCAGUGGUGAAAUCUCUUCGCUUAACGAAGAAAUUGCCAUUGAUACUGUAGGGCUUGAGUAUAGUUGCCGUUGGCGGAAUAUGACAUGUAGUGGUGAAAUACAUAGAGAUGUCAUAGAACACCGAUUGCGAAGGCAGCUGACGAAACUAUAACUGACACUGAGGCUCGAAAGUGCGGGGAUCAAACAGG
rnacentral:rRNA from 1 species